ensembl:lncRNA
CUCACAUUGUCACAGUGCAGCUUCUUGCUCAUUUAACACAAGACUCUGUGACAUAUCAGACACGUGGUUGUGCUUAGAGAACUUGGUCAUGCCAGGCUCCAUUCACCUGCACCAAAAAACAGCUCUUCAUGUCCACAAAUAGGUUUGGAGCCUUCACAGCAAGAGCAGAUUUUUUUUUUUCCUGUGUGAGCCACAGCCAGCAUGCCAGACCUGCAGAAAUCCUGUGAACAUUCCAGCACCAGCCUGGACCCCUGUGGAGCCCAUCUCAGCCUUCUGACCAUUUUCCCUGUUAACUUUUAGAGACCCCUGAGGAGCAGUUUGCAAGGCCCCAAAAGAGGCACGAGCUAUAAAGCACUGUUCUCUGUGCUCCAGAGCCCAUUUACAGCUGCCUCAGGUCUGCCCUGGCUCUGAAAGACAUGGAGGCUGCUCAAUGUACCCCACACUCUGCCUGAGCUUUGAGCCUUCCUCCCACAGUGCCCAUAGACCACGACUCCACUGCAAUGAUACUGAAAAACACAGGACUAAAACUCAGUUGUUUGCCUCAAUUACUCACAGCCUAAGUAGUUUUUCUAUAGCAAGGAACAUUUCAGUUCAUAGAAGCCUCUAUUUUCCUCAGCUGCACUGAAGCAAUUCUGACCCUGCCUGAUUUUCCUGAUCACUUUCUACAUUUCCCCCAUGCCCCUGAAGCACAUGGAGAGUCCCUCAGCUUUUCAGACAUCACCUCCAAGCACAGAAGCAAAGUAAGGAAAAAUCAGCCUGCUGGUUCUGAUGGCUCAUGGAUCAGAGCUUUGUGUCCCUGCUCUGCACCUCAGUUCCCAGGGCCAAGGAGCCAUCCCAGAACUCCCAGCCCCCAUUAAUGCCUGCAGAACUUAAAGAUUUGCAGAGUUUACUUGCAAAGCCUUUUAGAAGCAGAGAUGAGUAAACAAGAGUGAAAAGUUAAACAAAGGAAAUACAUUUAUGCUUGUACUGUUUUCAAGUUUAUGCAAACAACCCAUUUCUAAAGCUGUCACUGACAGUCCUGGCACGUUCUCAUUCCCCAGCUCAGAGUCAUGUUGGAAACUGAAAUCACAAGCAUUUCUGAGAUGCUUUGGGCAAAAUACCUCCCUCAGCUCCACCAGCUGAAAAUCAGUGAAAUUGGCUGUGGCUACAGAGCCAUGGCAACAUCCUUGUGCCAUGAUUCUGGAAGAAGAGGGAGAAGAGUCUGAACUUCUCUGGCCACAGCAGCUGUGGAAGAAACUGGAAUAGAGUUAUCCAAAUGAGUUAUGAAGAGAUCAAUUGAAGAAAUAACAGCAGGAAACCAUCAAGCAGAGAAAGAAUUAGAAAAUACUGUUUUUUAGCUGGUCAGGCAGUAAGUGGAGCUGCCAUAAAUGUAACAUUUUGCUCAUGGCUUUACCGAGGAAAGGAGACAUGGAGAGCCCGCUCUCCACCAGCACAGCUCACCACGCUCCACGCAGGAAGGGAGAACUCUCUGCAAAGGGUCAGCAAAGCCACAGCUUCCCAAACCACGUCUCAAGAAGUGGCAUAUAGGUUUGUUUCAAAGGGAAAAAGCGUGCACAAGCUCUGCUUCAGCUGGAAGACAGCACAGUUGCCAUUCUGACGCCUCCUCACGCUCUUCCCUCCAUUCAGCUGCACGGGACAGCACGUUUAACAGCUGAUCCAUCUGGAGCAAAGCCUACAAAGUUAAUUUCUAGCUUUGAGAUGGUUACUGGUAAUUGUAGGUAAUUUCAAAUAUAAUUGCAAUCGAGUUGAAAAAGCUCUGUUUGCAGUGUUUAUGCUCAUCACUCUAAUUUAAGACCUAGAAAGCUGGAUAUGCUGCUCUUCAAAUACACACCCAUUUUUCAUCUUCCUGAUUUUACCACGAGCGAUCAUAAAAACAGCCCCAGCAAACCACAGUCUGCAAUGCAAGGCAAAUGUUUGAGAAGCUGCAUAUAAAGUUUCAAGCAAAGCUGCUUGAAGGUUAACGACAGAACAUGUUAAUGAUUAUCAAAUAGACAAGGAAAGCCGCAGAGAGCUUCCAACACAGAAAUGCAAGAGACCCUCAAAAUAAAUGGUGGCUAACCUUGUUUGGAAUAAUACUU